rnacentral:rRNA from 1 species
GACGAACGCUGGCGGCGUGCCUAAUACAUGCAAGUCGAGCGAACAGAUGAGGAGCUUGCUCCUCUGACGUUAGCGGCGGACGGGUGAGUAACACGUGGAUAACCUACCUAUAAGACUGGGAUAACUUCGGGAAACCGGAGCUAAUACCGGAUAAUAUAUUGAACCGCAUGGUUCAAUAGUAAAAGACGGUUUUGCUGUCACUUAUAGAUGGAUCCGCGCCGCAUUAGCUAGUUGGUAAGGUAACGGCUUACCAAGGCAACGAUGCGUAGCCGACCUGAGAGGGUGAUCGGCCACACUGGAACUGAGACACGGUCCAGACUCCUACGGGAGGCAGCAGUAGGGAAUCUUCCGCAAUGGGCGAAAGCCUGACGGAGCAACGCCGCGUGAGUGAUGAAGGUCUUCGGAUCGUAAAACUCUGUUAUUAGGGAAGAACAAAUGUGUAAGUAACUAUGCACGUCUUGACGGUACCUAAUCAGAAAGCCACGGCUAACUACGUG